ACAAGAAGCUUCGACUAAGGUUCGACUCGAGCGAAGCGAGAGAACGUUGCCGCAGGCAACGGCCCGAAGGGCGAGGCGCUUUAGCGCCGAGUAAUCCUUCCCCCACCACCA
rnacentral:sRNA from 1 species